UAGUAUGGGGAUCUGCCCGAUAGAGGGGGAUAGCUACUGGAAACGGUGGCUAAUACCGCAUAAUGUCUACGGACCAAAGCAGGGGCUCUUCGGACCUUGCACUAUCGGAUGAACCCAUAUGGGAUUAGCUAGUAGGUGGGGUAAAGGCUCACCUAGGCGACGAUCUCUAGCUGGUCUGAGAGGAUGAUCAGCCACACUGGGACUGAGACACGGCCCAG
rnacentral:rRNA from 1 species